rnacentral:rRNA from 1 species
GACGAACGCUGGCGGCGUGCCUAAUACAUGCAAGUAGAACGCACAGUUUAUACCGUAGCUUGCUACACCAUAGACUGUGAGUUGCGAACGGGUGAGUAACGCGUAGGUAACCUGCCUGGUAGCGGGGGAUAACUAUUGGAAACGAUAGCUAAUACCGCAUAAUAUUAAUUAUUGCAUGAUAAUUAAUUGAAAGGUGCAAUUGCACCACUACCAGAUGGACCUGCGUUGUAUUAGCUAGUAGGUGAGGUAACGGCUCACCUAGGCGACGAUACAUAGCCGACCUGAGAGGGUGAUCGGCCACACUGGGACUGAGACACGGCCCAGACUCCUACGGGAGGCAGCAGUAGGGAAUCUUCGGCAAUGGACGAAAGUCUGACCGAGCAACGCCGCGUGAGUGAAGAAGGUUUUCGGAUCGUAAAGCUCGGUUGUAAGAGAAGAACGGGUGUGAGAGUGGAAAGUUCACACUGUGACGGUAUCUUACCAGAAAGGGGCGGCUAACUACGUG